rnacentral:rRNA from 1 species
CGGAGGGUGCAAGCGUUAUCCGGAUUUACUGGGUUUAAAGGGUGUGUAGGCGGGCUUUUAAGUCAGUGGUGAAAUCUCCGGGCUCAACCCGGAAACUGCCAUUGAUACUAUUAGUCUUGAAUUUUGUUGAGGUAGGCGGAAUAAGUCAUGUAGCGGUGAAAUGCUUAGAUAUGACUUAGAACACCAAUUGCGAAGGCAGCUUGCUAAACAAAUAUUGACGCUGAGGCACGAAAGCGUGGGGAUCAAACAGGAUUAGAUACCCUGGUAGUCCACGCCCUAAACGAUGAUUACUCGACAUACGCGAUACACUGUGUGUGUCUGAGCGAAAGCAUUAAGUAAUCCACCUGGGAAGUACGACCGCAAGGUUG